UGGGCUGUCGUCAAGUGGUAAAGACACGAGACUUUGACUCUCGCAUGCGCAGGUUCGAAUCCUGCCAGCCCAACCA
rnacentral:tRNA from 1 species